rnacentral:rRNA from 1 species
GCCCAAAAUCUAGCCCUAUUUUAACAAAUGACCACCUAAACUAAAUACACAAACUAAACCAUUUUAUUCUUUUAGUAAAGGCGAUUGAAAAACAUAUUAGAGCUAUAAUUAAAGUACCGCAAGGAAAAGAUGAAAUAAAUAUGAAAUAGACUUAAGCACAAAAAAGCAGAGAUAUAUCCUCGUACCUUUUGCAUCAUGAUUUAACUAGUUUAACCAUGCACAAAGAACUUUAGUUUGACCUCCCGAAACUAGGCGAGCUACUUCGAGGCAGCUUUAUGAGCCCACCCGUCUCUGUUGCAAAAGAGUGGGAAGACCUCCAAGUAGCGGUGACAGACCUAACGAGCCUAGUGAUAGCUGGUUACUUAAGAAAAGGAUCUAAGUCCUACCUAGAGCAUUUUUGAUGCCUCUAAAUACCAUUCAUGCUCUAGAGCUACUCAAAUGAGGUACAGCCCGUUUGAAAUUAGGAUACAACCUACACCAAUGGGUAAUUUUACUUAACUUGUUUAAACAAGUGGGCCUAAGAGCAGCCACCUUUUAGAUUGCGUCAAAGCUCUCCUAAACAAUACCCUAAUUCCAUUAUUUACAAAAAACCCUUCACACGUAUUAAGUUACUCUAUAUUCCCUAUAGAAAUAUUUAUGUUAGAACUAGUAAUAAGAAGACCGACCUUCUCAUAAAUGUAGGUGUAAAUCAGAAGGACAAACCACUGUUAAUUACUCAUCAAUGAACACAAAACAGCAACCUCACUAGAAAACCCUGUUUAUAUUUAUGUUAAUCUGACACCAGCACAUUUCAAGAAAGAUUAAAAGAAAAAGAAGGAACUCGGCAAAUAUUAACCCCGCCUGUUUACCAAAAACAUCGCCUCUUGAUAUCUAUAAGAGGUCCAGCCUGCCCAGUGACGAAGUUCAACGGCCGCGGUAUCCUAACCGUGCGAAGGUAGCGUAAUCACUUGUUCUUUAAAUGAGGACUAGUAUGAAUGGCACCACGAGGGUUAUACUGUCUCCUUUUUCUAAUCAAUGAAACUAAUCUCCCCGUGAAGAAGCGGGGAUAAACUUAUAAGACGAGAAGACCCUAUGGAGCUUUAAACAACAAUAGCACUAGCCUUCAUCUUUACACUUGAGAGAUACAACUAUUAUAUUGGCUAACAUGACUAUUAGUUUUAGGUUGGGGUGACCGCGGAGCAAAAACUAACCUCCACAUUGAACGGAGCUUUCCUGAGCUAAAAGCUACAACUUUAAGCACCAAUAAAUUGACAUCAAUUGACCCAACACGUUGAGCAACGAACCAAGUUACCCUAGGGAUAACAGCGCAAUCCAUUUCAAGAGCCCCCAUCGACAAAUGGGUUUACGACCUCGAUGUUGGAUCAGGGUACCCCAGUGGUGCAGCCGCUACUAAAGGUUCGUUUGUUCAACGAUUAAAACCCU